UGUGGCAAGUGAAGGAAGACAUGAAAGUAGGGCAAAGUGGAAUGAAAUUCACAAGGCUCACCUAGUAAAGUUAUUGGGUGAGUAUAAUACUCCUGCAUACCGUUCACAAAAUGGAUGGACCAAAGAAGCAUGGAACAAGAUGGUACGUGACAUGAUAACCAAGUUUUCCAAUCCAAGCAUCACCACAAGCCAAAUCAAAGCAUUAGAACAAGAGUUGAAAUAAACCUACAAGCUUCUAAAAGGGUUUUCUGAAUUAAGUGGCUUUGGAUGGGAUUAUGAAAGACACAUUGUAUCGGCUCCUGAUGAUGUUUGGGCACCACUACUAGAGAGGAAUAAGGAUGCAAGGAAGUGGCAUACUAGACUGUUUCCAUAUUUUACAGCUUUGCAGGAGGUUUAUGAGGGGAGAUAUGCUGAAGGCAAACGAUCUCGUGGUAUAGAAGAUUAUGAAGAUAUUUCUCAAUCACCAGUGCACACCCCAAGUCCAAGUGUUUUUACUCCAAACGAUUC